UACGGAGGGUGCAAGCGUUAUCCGGAUUCACUGGGUUUAAAGGGUGCGUAGGUGGGCAGGUAAGUCAGUGGUGAAAUCUCCGGGCUUAACUCGGAAACUGCCAUUGAUACUAUCUGUCUUGAAUACCGUGGAGGUUAGCGGAAUAUGUCAUGUAGCGGUGAAAUGCUUAGAUAUGACAUAGAACACCAAUUGCGAAGGCAGCUGGCUACACGAAUAUUGACAC
rnacentral:rRNA from 1 species